AUGACUAGGAAGGGUAAAGGGGUGAUGACAAUACCAACACCGGUUAAGCUCAAAGAAACAAUCAGAAAGUACAUCCCUACUUAUGAAGGUUCUGAUUCAGAUGGUUCUGUGGGUAGCGCUCCAGGUGAAAGCCCUACUUAUGAAGGUUCUUAUUCAGAUGGUUCUGUGGGUAGCGCUCCAGGUGAAAGACAAGAAACUACUAAGGGGAAGGGCGACUACAUGGGCAUGCAUUAGCGGCAGAAGAUUUCGUGAAUUAUUGAAUAAAACC